UGGGGAAUUUUGGACAAUGGGGGCAACCCUGAUCCAGCCAUUCCGCGUGAGUGAAGAAGGCCUUCGGGUUGUAAAGCUCUUUUGUCCGGAACGAAACGGUUGGCGUGAAUAUCGCCGACUACUGACGGUACCGGAAGAAUAAGCACCGGCUAACUACGUGCCAGCAGCCGCGGUAAUACGUAGGGUGCGAGCGUUAAUCGGAAUUACUGGGCGUAAAGCGUGCGCAGGCGGUUUUGUAAGCCAGAUGUGAAAUCCCCGGGCUCAACCUGGGAAUGGCAUUUGGGACUGCAAGGCUGGAGUUUGGCAGAGGAGACUGGAAUUCCCGGUGUAGCAGUGAAAUGCGUAGAUAUCGGGAGGAAUACCGAUGGCGAAGGCAGGUCUCUGGGCUAUAACUGACGCUCAUGCACGAAAGCGUGGGGAGCAAACAGGAUUAGAUACCCUGGUAGUCCACGCCCUAAACGAUGUCGACUGGUUGUUGGGGGUUUGACACUCUCAGUAACGAAGCUAACGCG
rnacentral:rRNA from 1 species